rnacentral:rRNA from 1 species
UACAGAGGUCUCAAGCGUUGUUCGGAUUUACUGGGCGUAAAGGGCGCGUAGGCGGCCACCGCAAGUCGGUUGUGAAAUCUCUGGGCUUAACCCAGAAAGGUCAACCGAUACUGCGGGGCUAGAGUACGGUAGAGGGGGAUGGAAUUCCGCGUGUAGCAGUGAAAUGCGUAGAUAUGCGGAGGAACACCGAUGGCGAAGGCAAUCCCCUGGACCUGUACUGACGCUCAUGCACGAAAGCGUGGGGAGCAAACAGG